UACGGGAGGCAGCAGUGGGGAAUAUUGCACAAUGGGCGAAAGCCUGAUGCAGCUAUGCCGCGUGUAUGAAGAAGGCCUUAGGGUUGUAAAGUACUUUCAUCGGGGAGGAAAAACAAAACUAAUAAUUUUAUUUCUUGACGUUACCCGAAAAAGAAGCACCGGCUAACUCCGUGCCAGCAGCCGCGGUAAUACGGAGGGUGCUAGCGUUAAUCAGAAUUACUGGGCGUAAAGAGCACGUAGGUGGUUUUUUUAAAGUCAGAUGUGAAAUCCCUGGGCUUAACCUAGGAACUGCAUUUUGAAACUGAAAUACUAGAGUAUCGUAGAGGGAGGUAGAAUUCUAGGUGUAGCGGUGAAAUGCGUAGAUAUCUGGAGGAAUACCUGUGGCGAAAGCGGCCUCCUAAACGAAUACUGACACUGAGGUGCGAAAGCGUGGGGAGCAAA
rnacentral:rRNA from 1 species